rnacentral:lncRNA from 1 species
CUGCAGUGUUCUCUCCCAGCCUGGAGUCCAACUAAGGAAUCAUUGUGCUUCUGACCGAAUUUACCUUCCAAGCCUCAUUUUCAUCUUCCAGAACAGCCUUCAAGUCUGCAGCCAAACCUGUACCUCAUGGCAGGAUGGAAAAGUGGUGAUGACAGAAAAUUGUCUGUUGCUUUUGGAAAAGAAAGAAAAAAAAAAGUGACGUUUCCCUGUGUUUGACAUCCUCUUCCUUAAAGGUAUCAGAAUGGUGCGUGGGUUUGGUUUGAAGCUAAAGAAAGGAGAAAGAGCCAGAGAAGAAGAAAAAAAGAUUCCCUGCAGCCUGCCAGGGACGUGGUAACUGCCCUGCCAAGAGUGAUCCUGGGAGAGCUAUUGAAAGAGCUCUGAGGCCUCCUUGGCAUAUGGAAGUUCCCAGGCUAGGGGUGGAAUCCGAGCCACAUCCGUGACCUACACCGCAGCUCACGACAACGCUGGAUCAUCAACCCACUGAGUGAGGCCAGAGAUCGAACCCGAGUCUUCCUGCACACCAGUUAGGUUUGUUACCACUGAGCCGCAACAGGAACUCCCAGGAGCUUUAUGAGUGAAUGAACAAAUGCAUCAUUCCACCCCCACCUCACCGCCGCCACCCCGGGGGAGAGAGUCUACAGCUUUUAGCAGAAUCUCAAAGUUUUUUGUAACCCAGGAAGGUUGAGGAAGCUGAUCCAGGCAAUCUCGAUGUAUAAGUGGGUACUCUAAGGCCCAGAGAGGGCCAGGGACUGGUUCAGGCAACAUAGGGCAGAGUGGGGGCCAGAAGCCAGCUCGGAGUCCUUUGUACCAUUCCCCAGUGCUGUGGAUCUUGGGAAAUUUAGGGUGGGGUUUAUGGAGUUGGGAUCACCGCUAGAACUUGGAUUUAAAAUAGACACUUUAAUAAAGGUCCUUUGAGUCUCC